rnacentral:lncRNA from 1 species
ACCGGUCUCAAAAUGACCGUCUCCUUCUCCUCUUCCAAACCCAACCCUCCAUUCCAGCUAGCAUCCACACAGGGAAGAGAUCGAAGUGGAAGAACACAACUGUGUUCAUCGGAUUUCGACAGAAAUCGGCGACAACUGCGACUCCGGUUUGAGCUCCGGUCACUGAUCCACCCAGCGACGGUGAGUCCCUUCCUCCUCUCUUCCUUUUGCACAGUCCAGUGUUUCUUUUCUUAAUUUUCUGGGUUUCGAGUUCUUAGCUCCAGCGACCUGCGUUCGACGGUUUCCCGUGAGUGCUUCGGGUUUUGGUCAGUCCUCGAUGCUCUGUGUGUUGUCGAGUUGGACCUUGGAGGAGUUGCAGGUCGAUCCGGAUUGAGGCAGAGGUCGGGUGUGUUUGGGCUGAGAGGAACUGAAGUGGUGUGAUGCUAAUUAGGUGAAGGUGGCGACUAAGGCAGCAACUGGGGAUGUUUGGAGGUCUUGCUUGUUGAGUCCGGACCAGGAGAGUUCUUGGGCUAGUGCUUGAGAUCGAUGGAAGGUAAUCUCGAUCUCCUUUGAUGUUAUAUAGCUGCUGUAUUGAUUUUCGGAUUGAUUGGGUGCAUUUUUGGUGUUGCAAGUCGAUAACUUGGUGAUUUGGAGUUUCCGGGGAGGUUAUGGCAAAAUUUUGGCAAGUUGCCAGAAUCCGGUGAGUAUUUCUGGCUGCCUCGCUGGAAUCCCUACAGUUCCAGCAGAAUCCGUGAAGGUAGCUUGUCGACUUUCCUUUUUCGUUUAAGUUGUAGUUUACGGUUUAGGAAAACCUGCCAUAUUUAGAAAGUUUCUAAUUUUGGAAACUUUCCAUUUAUGAAAACCCUUUUUGGGUGCCCUUAAUGAUUUUUGGUGUGAAGUUGUGUAGCGAGGAAAUGAAUAAGGAUUGUAUGGGUGAAGGAACAUUUGUAAUUGGGCUGUGAUUGAGGAUUUCACGGAUUGAGAAAAUUGGUCAUUGAGGGAGGGAUUUAGUGAAAAGAUUUGUUCUUAUUUAAGAACUAAUUGAUUUCAAGUGAAGCAAAUAAUUGAAUUAUUAAAAUGUUUGUUGGAAUUAAAUUGGAUGGUUAAUAGUUAAUCAAGGUAACCUAAAUUAUUAGACGUGAAUUGUUGUCAAGAAAUGAAGCAUCCAUAUCCCAAAAUGGAGCGUGAUUGGUUAAGGGAAGUAUUUGGGAAUAGCCAAUGUAAUUUUAUUUAGGGACCAAUCUUAAGUCUUGGACUAGACUAUUGAUUAAGGCUAAAGAAAACUGUUCUCUAGAAGUAGUUGAGAUUUUUUAACUUACGGUUUGGGUUAAUUGUUUAAUUAAAGGACUCAAGUAUGUGCCUAUGGACGUAAAGGCUCGCCGUAGGAAGUUGACGGGCAUUUCACUUGGGAAGCCUCUGCUUGGCAAUUAAAUAACCGAAUCACUGUGAGUGGACAUUUCUUUUAAAUUAAAUGCAUGCAGAGAUUUAUUUUAAAGGAAUGAUUUUAUCGGUCAUUAAUUUGUGGAAUUUGUUUUCCUCUCGUGAGUUAUUUUUUGCGAAGUUAUUUUCAGAGGUAAAUAUUCUUAUUUUAUUUAUUAACUUCGCUAUUUUGAGCAUUUCUGAAAAUGAGAUUUUAGGUGUAUAUACACUACCAGGACAAGCACUUUAGCCGAGGAAACCUGUUAGCUUAAUUCGUCGGCUAAGAUUUUGUCAGGAAAAAGUCGUCGGCGAUGACUUUAGCCGACGAAAAAAGAAGACGUCGUCGGUUAUAGUCCCACAGUUUAGCUGACGAAAAACAUGUCGUCGGUUUUGUUUCCCAAACUUUAGCCGACGAAACAAUAAGAUAUUCGUCGGCUAAAGUGUGUAAUAAAAAAUUUAAAAAAUAACUAUAACCGACGAAACAUGUCAUAUUUUGUCGGCUAAACCUUAUAAAAAAAAUAAAAAAUACUAUAGCAGAUGAAUAUAGUAUUUAAAUAUUGUCGGCUAAAGUUGCUGCUUUUUGAAAAAAAAAACUGCAGAAACUUUCAGUCACCUCCAAUCACCACCAAAAUUUGACAGAAUCUUCCUCUCAACAUUUCGAACAACUUUCUAGAAGAAGUCGAAGCCCAAUUCUAAGCCUAAACAGGUCAAUUGAAUCAAAAUAUAAAAAUCCCUAAUUUUAAACCCUAAAAACUUCAAAUCUUCGAUUCUCCUCACACACACCGAAUUGAGCUACCAAAUUCUAGGGGAAUAUAGUACUAAUCAAACUCAACUUAUCCAUAUAUAGAACUCACCAAAUGGUGACCUAAGGAAGGAGAAAUUCGAUCGACACCGAAUCCGAACCGGCGGAAUUUUGGAGCUCGAUUUAUCCCUCACGGCGGCGCCACUCGAUGUAGCACCUGUCCAACAAUUAAGUAGAGAGGACGGCGAAGUUUUUGGGACAAGUGUGGCGGUCUCCGGUUGCUUGACGGCGGAGCUAGGCCGAGAAGAAAAUCCGGAACUUUUUCUGAUUUUCUGACUUCUUACCAUCCACCUCCGGUAAAACUCUUAUAUAAAGAACUUUACCCGACGAAAUUCUUUAUUUUCGUCAGCUAAACUCUUUUGAAAAUUUUAGUUGAAAAUUUUGAAAAUUUUUUGACAAUAGCCGACGAGAUUUUGAAUAUUUUCGUUGGCUAAAGUCCCCAAAUUUGGUUUACCGCCAAAAAAUUUUUGACCUUAGCCGAUAACUUUUUUAAUAUCUCGUCGGCUAAAGUCUAUAAAUUCACGAAAACGCUUAUAUCUCCCUCUAUAUUACGUAGUUUGGUCAAACCUUCUACACGAAAACUUUCACGUAGAUGAGACGCAACCGCCUAUAUAAAAAUUUUGAGACAUUUACCUUCCGACGAUAAGGCUCCCCAUAAGGAAUAAUAACGGUAAAUAGGGUUGACCGCUACUAUCGGCACCGAGACGUUAUCCGAUUUAUGUGAUCUUUGAACCAUAGCUGUAUUUCACCAUUCUGAACACAUCUUAUUUCACAGGAUUUUUGAUAAUUUUGCUUCCUAUGUAGAGUUGGUUCACAAAGUUGUAUAACCUACUAAACAAGUUAUACAACAUUUGUUGACAGGUUGUGAUUCCGAUGACUAAAAUUCACAAACCAAAAUUCGACCGUCAGAUAUGAUCAUUAUGAUGAAAGAUGUCUAUGGUAAAAAAUUCAACUGGAUCCGACAACGUUAAGGGCUCGAUCAAAACGGUCAACCCUAAUCCAUCGUCACUUAUCACACGAAAACGCUCAUAUCUCCCUCUAUAUUACAUAGUUUGGUCAAACCUUCCACAUGAAAAACUCUCACGUAGAUGAGACGCAACUGCCCAUAUAAAAAUUUUGAGACAUUUACCUUCCGAAGAUAGGGCUCCCCAUAAAGAAUAAUAACGGUAAAUAGGGUUGACCGCUACUUUCGGCACUGAGAUGUUACCCAGUUUACGUGAUUUUUGAACCAUAGCCGUAUUUCAUCAUUCUGAACACAUCUUAUUUCACAGGAUUUUUGAUAAUUUUGCUUCCUAUGUUGUAUAACCUACUAAACAAGUUAUACAACAUUAGUAGACACGUUGUGAUUCCGAUGACUAAAAUUCACAAACAAAAUUUGACCGUCAGAUAUGAUCAUUAUGACGAAAGAUGUCUAUGGUAAAAAAUUCAACUGGAUUCGACAACGUUAAGGGCUCGAUCGAAACGAUUAACUCUAAUUGGAAAUAAGAAAACUGCAUGUUGAAGCCCUAAACGGACUCGGAUGGCCAAAAAGGCCCAUAUGUCAUAGUCAAGCAAUGAGUUUGACUCGUUGGGCCGUUACGCUUCCGGAAAGGUAUCACAAUAGUCAAUCGGACACCGAAUGCCAAAUCUACAACAUACCAGGUUUCGACUGUUCUACAUCAGAGACGUUACCCGAUUUACGUGAUUUUUGAACCAUAGUCGUAUUUCACCGCUCUGAACACAUCUUAUUUCACGAGAUUUUUGUUAAUUUUGCUUCUAUGUAGAGUUGGUUCACAAAGUUGUGUAUUUGUUUAAAACCUACUAAACAAGUUAUACAACAUUUUAUUGUUUUUCUUUUAGCCGAUGGCUUUUUUCGAUAAUAGCCGACGAGAUUUUUUUUCAUCUACUAAAAUGUUUUAACCGACGAGUAAAAACUUUGGCCGACGAAGGAAAACUUUGGCCAACAAAAAAAAAAAUUUCGUCGGCUAAAGUAUAGUAUAGCUGACGAAAAAAUUUCUUCAACCGACGAAAAUUUAAAUUAGCCGACGAAAAAAAAUUUUGUAGGCUAACAUGGACUUUAGCCGACGAAAAAAUAAUUCGUCGGCCUGGUUUUUUUAUUUUCGUCGGCUAAAGCCUUUCUUCUGGUAGUGAUAUAUGUAUAUUUAUGAGGAGAGUAUGUAUAUAAAUGCCAGCUAGCCAUAUGUGUCUGUCCACCUUAAUGGCGUAGUAUAUAACCGCAUUAUGGUGUGACGUGAGCGUUAGACGCGAGCGUAGUAACCCUAUAUAAGUGUCUAAUUCAUAUAGGGGGUAUGGGCACAUAUUUAUACACUCGUCCGUCCACCUUAAUGGCGUAGUGUAACACCGCAUUAAAGCGUGACAUGAGCGUUAGACACAAGCGUAGUAGCCUUGUAUGAAUUUCUAUUUUCCUUAUAUUUCCUUUAUAGAAUUCAUACAAGGAGUAUGGACGUGUGUAGAUACAUACAUAUAUAUUGUUGGAUUUAUAUUAUUGAGUUUGAGAGGCUCGAUAUGUAAGAGAUGAAAGUUUUAUCGUUUGAGGCAUGCAUUCGAUUUCUUUGGAAAUUUAAUUUAGGAAAGCAUUAAUUAUUUCUGUUAAAUUUAUUUUUGUCCACUCACUCUAACGUUUACAAAUGUUUUCCUCUGGGCCCUUCAUUUUAAAAAUGUCCAGUAUGCAGGUUAGCAUAGUUGAGGUUGAGCGUACAUGGAGAAGAGGUAUAGUCAAUAGUAUAGCUUCCGCUUAUUUUUAUAUUUCUAGUUCAUUUCCUCUCAAAUAAAGUUGCUCUGAAUUGUGGUUGUUGGUUGCGAGAUUUUCUUUUUAAAGUUAGUAAAUAAAUUGGGAGAUGUUGUGAUUUGGGGAGUACGAAGGCUUCAAGAGUUUAAGGUUGGAUUUGGAUUUUCAGAAGUGUACGCAGGUUUUAUUAGGAAGGGUUGUCCAUUUUCAAAGGAGUUUAUCCCGAAUUUUCGGUAAAUUUUCCUUAGAGGUGGUCCCCGCAGGGUUUAUUUCGGGUUUCAGGGUGAAAUUCGGGGUGGGUCUUGACAGUUUGGGGGUUGUGAUGAGAACGAAGAUUUGGGGGUUGUGAUGAGAACGAAGAUGCGUAUCGAUAUGAGGGAAAAAUGGUCAUACAUGUUAUUUUCAGAAUUUGACUCUCUUCUUGAUGUCACGUCAUCACUUGACAGAUGAAUUGAAUGAAGAACGGAGGUCUGGACACGGCUGAUGAAAAUUAGGAGUCGAGGAGUGUUUUUGAUGAAAUUGAAAGAAGAAUGACUAAAAUGGUGAUCGACCUAAAGUUGAUGGGGGUAAACUUAAAUUAGUUCUUAAAACAACUUGAAUGCUUGUUGAUAUGGUUUGAUAACAGUUUUGCUUGUGAAAGAAGAUGAUCAUUCGUCACCCUUCUGUUUUCUUAUUUUAUUUUCAUAUCACACGAUAUUUGAUCCCCUUGAAAAUUUGUACAGUUGUUUUUCUGUGUGUCUAGUAAUAUAUCUGAAAAUUUUCAUAAUUUUCUGAGUAGUUUAGUAUAGGUUUUUACUUAGGUUUUCAAUUACUAUACUUUACUUUUGCAAAUUCUUUUAAGUUUGUGAUUCUUGUCAAUAAUUGUUGUAAUUUACUAACACUUUCUUUUCCAGAGAUAAUCUCAAUCCCGCUUUUGAACGAUACUCUCUUACUUAAUGCUAUAAUCGAUAAGGUUUUUGUUUGAUGCAG